ACAGCCUGAGUGUGUAUGGCAAGCGUGUGUGUCUGCACAAGUGCACGCGUGACAGAGGAGGAAUCCCAAGCAGCCUGAGGCCCGCCGUGCUGCACGGUUCCCAGAUCACCAUGCGCCCACCCUGUGGCCUGCUGCUGGAGCCCCGCGUGGGGGUCACUCAGUGUCCCCCGGGACCCUGUCCAAGAACUUCGGGACACAGCAGUGUCUGCCACAUGGAGGCUCGGUGGAGCAUGACCCGCGUGCACCAGUGAGGCCAGAGCAGGCGAAGGCCCCUCACCCCCUCGCUUCCACUGUCCUCGCUCUCUCAGUGCCAGGCCAUCUCUGCAGAACUCAGGCAGAGUCCGGUGGAGGCAGCCGGAUGGAGUCUUCCCCGUACAGCCAGGCUGUGCGGCUGCCCUCCUCUGGAAAGACGCUUCUGCAGAGAUGGCCACAGCUUGAUCAUGGUGCGUGCCUGAGCUCCCAGCUCUGUGCAGGCUGAGGCAGGAGGACCACAAAUUCCAU